GGCCACACAGAAGCUCUGACUCACAUCGGGUAGACGGGCUGAGGCCUCUGCAGCAGGCCCAGCUAUGGAGACUGUCACCAGCACAGGCGUAGUCAAUGACAGGGUGUUAUCCUGUCAGUGCCUUCUUGAAGGAAGCUGAAGAGCCUCUAAGAGAUGUGGCUUCAAAUGGGAGUCUUGUGCUGAGAGACAACCCGGCAGCCAUGUCUGAGUUGAGCCAAGAGAGUGAAAGCUGAAAACCUUGAAGAGGCUCCGACUGAAUCAGAGGACUUGAGUCUCAUGUCCUGGCUACAACACUGACUUGCUUUGGGACCUUGGACAGGUCAUUGAUCCUCGCUGAGUUAUUGUUAUCUGGAUACUGGAGAAAGUUAUGCCCGUCGUUAAUGUGAAAGCUGAUCCAAGUGAGGCAUAGAGAAGGUACCUGAAUUCUGUGUGUGCGCAUGGAUGCCCAGGCCUGUGGUGUAUGUCUCCCACUUAUCUUUUGAGGCUAGAUCUCUUAAUGAACCUGGAGUUCAUUAAUUCAGUUGGCUAGCUGUUCAAUAAGCUCCAGGAAUCUGCAGGUCUCUGAUCCCCCAGUGGGCUGCCAUGCCCAGCUUUUAUGUACGCGCUAGGGAUCUGAACUUAGGUCCUCAUGCCUGCUUGGC